rnacentral:tRNA from 1 species
GGGCCGGUAGCUCAGUUGGUUAGAGCGGCUGACUUUUAAUCAGUAGGUCGAGAGUUCGAAUCUCUCCCGGCUCACCA